ACAUUAUAUUGCUUCUCUUUUUGCUACAACUCAGAAAGGUGAAUUGCUAUGCUGCAACAUUUGGAUUAGGAACAAGUGUCAGACUGCUAAAGGACAUAAGACCCUGGAACACAAAUUCCUUUCUGAUAACAGAUCCUGAAACCACCUCUGCAGCUGGAAGAGCUGGAAAGCUUCAGGCCUCGUGUUGCAUGAGGCACACCCGCCUGUGUGCUGCUGGAGGCUGACCACAAGGCAAAGUAUCCUCCUGUAUUUAUUCCAAGAUAAAAACAGCAUUAUGCACAAAUCCCAGAUGGAUUUCUUUUCUCUUUUUAUUUAGGAAGGAGAGGCAGGAUUAUCUGUGGGUUCCCCCCCCAUCUGGUGCAGAUUCACAGGCAGUAAGAAUGAGUUUUGUUUCCAAUACAUGUGUUGGAUCAAAAUCCCAGGGAGGAAGAAAAAACUCCAUCUCAAGAAGUCACAUGUCAGUUCCCAGUUCUGGCAUUGCCACACACAGCACAAAAGCACCCAAACAAACAAGGAUCCAAGGCAUACAUUGUUUCACAGAAUAUACAUGUUAAAAGGACAAGUAGAAAUACUACAAAAUCAACAGAAUCACUUUUAAAAUAAUUAUAUUUGAUGAACCGUUAAAAACAGACACAGAAAGAGGUAGCAAAGCUAACAACUUCCUGCUGCUCUAAUUAGUGUUGCCUGCAUGCACUGAGAAAGUUACUGUGAAAUUGAAUCUCUCAAAAUCUUUUCUGGACAGAAUUGUAGACAACUCACAAUUUAUUUCUGACAAUGCUAUGUGAAGUACUGAGGCAAAUCCACAGGCUCACUAGCAGCUGUUUCAUGUUGUCUGGCUUAACAAAAAGGCAUUGAAAGGAAUAGGUUAUCUGUAUUAUACUUGAGAGAGCAAGAGAGAGCACAAGCACACACACACCAGGGAGACCACACACAGAUGUAACAAUAACAGGAUGCUUCACUUGCUCUGCCACAGCAAAACUGAAGUAUGACAGAUCCCUGGGUGGCAGAGUUAAGACAAUUUGAUAUGACCUUGGUCCCAUGAAUAUGAACAUCUCUUGACAAAGCUAAAAGCAAGGCAUCAAAGGUGAAGGGAACCAGAAUUCCAUGUGUUGCGUGCGUGCACUCUCUCUCACACUUGCUUCUCCAGGCUUUCUGAGAUCUUAUCAAGGUCAGUUCAAGAUGAUCUCCCAUCCAAUAUGUAAUAGCGAUACAUUAAACCUAUGACUAGUGCUCCAAAGAUGGGGAUUAGCCAUGUUGUCCAGAAGCUUGCUUGUCCUGAGGAUGUCCUGUUUUGAUCCUUGGAACCUCCCUUUUUACGGUCAUCCGGAUGGAUCUCCCCUAUGUAGUACUGCUUGAGCAUCUCCCUGGCAUCUGUGGAAUGACCAACAUCUUCAAAGCUCUCUGUGGCAUCUCUUCCAGCUUGUUCAAGCAAAACCUCUUCUCCACCUGGAUGCUCCUCCAGGAAGCGGGUGACAUCGUAGACGCGCCCGUGGAUGACCAGCCAGGCCUCGCGGUUGGAGUUCCGCCUCCCCACCUCCUCCAGCGUGAACACGGGCCCGGCCGGCUCCUCCGCGCAGCCCCCGGCCUCCGUCCGCUGCCCGCUCUCCAUGCUGCCCGCCGGUAGCUUCGCGGAACGCGCGGUUGGGCCCGCGGCAGCCGCCGUAGCGACGUCGGGAGGAGCCGUCCCUCUCCAACGCGAACGGCCCGCUGCCGCGCUGGGCCGAGCGCGCCGACCAAUGAGGAGCGAGCGGCCCCGGCGGCGGGGCGACUCCUGGCACCGGUCGCAACCAAUGGGAGAGCGCCGCGCCGGGCCUGGGCCAAUAGCGAGCGGCCAGAGCAGGACGGCGGGAAAGCGCUGCGGCUCACCUCGCGCAGCCUGAGCCCGCCGCCCACCCCGGGGGACUUUGGGUCCCAGCGCCGAGCAGAACGGCUGCUCCGUUUGUAAAUAAAGCAAACGUUAAUCUCGUGCACCUUAACACUGAGUCGGUGCCGUAACAUCCCCGGAGCGCUGCCUUGCUACCCGUGUCUGAAGGUCUGCUCCCUCCCGGGCGCACCAGGCUGGGUUAGGGGCAGGCAGGCAGUUUGCACAGCGCUGCUUCUCCCACGUGAGCUCACACUCACAGCCGGGGUUUGUUUGCUCUCAUUAAACUGCUGAGGCAGCAGAAAUGCCCCGUGUGGAAAGGAGCACUGAUACCAUCACUAACAUCGGCUAAAGGUUAAAGGUACGUGCAGCACUCGGGCCCUCCAUUUCCUUCACAGUAACACAGAUCCUUCACCUACAACUGACAUAUCAGAUAUAUUCUCCGUCCCAAUCCAUUUAUUCAACCAGAUUUUUGCACGCUGUUGACAUCUUUGGCUCUGAAGCUUCUUCACAGCUACCUAAUCAACAGCCAUGUCUCAAAGUCAUUUAUACCUUGAGCUCAUUGUUCCUCUUUCACUCCUUUCUUGCGCAGCUCUUUUCAGUCCUUAAGGAUACAUCUCUG
rnacentral:lncRNA from 1 species